rnacentral:rRNA from 1 species
AGAGUUUGAUCCUGGCUCAGAACGUACGCUGGCGGCACGCCUAACACAUGCAAGUCGAACGAAGUAGCAAUACUUAGUGGCAGACGGGUGAGUAACAUGUAGGUAUCUGCCCUUUGGCCUGGAAUAACACGAGGAAACUUGUGCUAAUACCGGAUAAGUCUUUACGGAGAAAGCUUUAUGCACCAUUGGAUGAGCCUGCACUUGAUUAGUUUGUUGGUGGGGUAAUGGCCUACCAAGACUGUGAUCAAUAGCUGAUUUGAGAGGAUGAUCAGCCACAUUGGGACUGAGACACGGCCCAAACUCCUACGGGAGGCAGCAGUGGGGAAUCUUGCACAAUGGAGGAAACUCUGAUGCAGCGAUGCCGCGUGAGUGAAGAAGGCCUUUGGGUUGUAAAGCUCUUUCGUCGGGGAAGAAAAUGACUGUACCCGAAUAAGAAGGUCCGGCUAACUUCGUGCCAGCAGCCGCGGUAAUACGAAGGGACCUAGCGUAGUUCGGAAUUACUGGGCUUAAAGAGUUCGUAGGUGGUUGAAAAAGUUGGUGGUGAAAUCCCAGAGCUUAACUCUGGAACUGCCAUCAAAACUUUUCAGCUAGAGUAUGAUAGAGGAAAGCAGAAUUUCUAGUGUAGAGGUGAAAUUCGUAGAUAUUAGAAAGAAUACCAAUUGCGAAGGCAGCUUUCUGGAUCAUAACUGACACUGAGGAACGAAAGCAUGGGUAGCGAAGAGGAUUAGAUACCCUCGUAGUCCAUGCCGUAAACGAUGUGUGUUAGACGUUGGAAAUUUAUUUUCAGUGUCGCAGCGAAAGCGAUAAACACACCGCCUGGGGAGUACGACCGCAAGGUUAAAACUCAAAUGAAUUGACGGGGACCCGCACAAGUAGUGGAGCAUGUGGUUUAAUUCGAAGAUACGCGCAGAACCUUACCAACACUUGACAUGUUCGUCGCGACUCUAAGAGAUUAGAGUUUUCGGUUCGGCCGGACGAAACACAGGUGCUGCAUGGCUGUCGUCAGCUCGUGUCGUGAGAUGUUGGGUUAAGUCCCGCAACGAGCGCAACCCUCACUUUUAGUUGCCAUCAUUAAGUUGGGCACUCUGAAAGAACUGCCAGUGAUAAGCUGGAGGAAGGUGGGGAUGACGUCAAGUCCUCAUGGCCCUUACGUGUUGGGCUACACACGUGCUACAAUGGUAUCUACAACAGGAAGCGAAACGGCGACGUUAAGCAAAUCCUUAAAAGAUACCUCAGUUCGGAUUGCACUCUGCAACUCGAGUGCAUGAAGCUGGAAUUACUAGUAAUCGUGGAUCAGCGUGCCACGGUGAAUGCGUUCCCGGGUCUUGUACACACCGCCCGUCACACCAUGGGAGUUGGUUCUACCUUAAGGCAAGGUUUAAAACCCUUGACCACGGUAUAGUCAGCGACUGGGGUGAAGUCGUAACAAGGUAACC